rnacentral:misc_RNA from 1 species
GUAGCAAAAUGCAUCCCAGUUAAGGUUGUCGCAAAGCUGAAACCAUAUGUAGCCAUUAAGGCUUUAUUAACAAUAAUAAUUCCAACUGAAGUGACAAUAUUGAAUGCCCAUGCUGCCACAUCAACAACCAUUUUCUUCUCAUCCUUGACAGCCAUGGACAUUUUCUUUGGCCGCAUCUAAAACAUAGAAAAAUUGUGAUGUUUGCCCUUCAGAAUGAUCACCAAGAAUCAAGCUUCCUUUCCUUCCUUGCGAAUGAAUCCCAAAAAAGAAGCGCCAAAAAGAGAAACAAGAACAGAGGCUGCAGCCUAGCAAAG